UGGGGAAUAUUGGACAAUGGGCGCAAGCCUGAUCCAGCCAUGCCGCGUGAGUGAUGAAGGCCUUAGGGUUGUAAAGCUCUUUUGGCGGGGACGAUAAUGACGGUACCCGCAGAAUAAGCCCCGGCUAACUUCGUGCCAGCAGCCGCGGUAAUACGAAGGGGGCUAGCGUUGUUCGGAAUCACUGGGCGUAAAGCGCACGUAGGCGGACCUUCAAGUCAGGGGUGAAAUCCCGGGGCUCAACCUCGGAACUGCCUUUGAUACUGUUGGUCUCGAGUCCGGAAGAGGUGGGUGGAAUUCCUAGUGUAGAGGUGAAAUUCGUAGAUAUUAGGAAGAACACCGGUGGCGAAGGCGGCCCACUGGUCCGGUACUGACGCUGAGGUGCGAAAGCGUGGGGAGCAAA
rnacentral:rRNA from 1 species